AUUGAACGCUGGCGGCAGGCCUAACACAUGCAAGUCGAACGGUAACAGGAAGCAGCUUGCUGCUUCGCUGACGAGUGGCGGACGGGUGAGUAAUGUCUGGGAAGCUGCCUGAUGGAGGGGGAUAACUACUGGAAACGGUAGCUAAUACCGCAUAAUGUCGCAAGACCAAAGAGGGGGACCUUCGGGCCUCUUGCCAUCGGAUGUGCCCAGAUGGGAUUAGCUUGUUGGUGGGGUAACGGCUCACCAAGGCGACGAUCCCUAGCUGGUCUGAGAGGAUGACCAGCCACACUGGGACUGAGACACGGUCCAGACUCCUACGGGAGGCAGCAGUGGGGAAUAUUGCACAAUGGGCGCAAGCCUGAUGCAGCCAUGCCGCGUGUAUGAAGAAGGCCUCCGGGUUGUAAAGUACUUUCAGCGGGGAGGAGGGGAGUAAAGUUAAUACCUUUGCUCAUUGACGUUACCCGCAGAAGAAGCACCGGCUAACUCCGUG
rnacentral:rRNA from 1 species